rnacentral:rRNA from 1 species
GAUGAACGCUAGCUACAGGCUUAACACAUGCAAGUCGAGGGGAAACGGCAUUGAGUGCUUGCACUCUUUGGACGUCGACCGGCGCACGGGUGAGUAACGCGUAUCCAACCUUCCCAUUACUGUGGGAUAACCUGCCGAAAGGCAGACUAAUACCGCAUAGUCUUCGAUGACGGCAUCAGAUUUGAAGUAAAGAUAUAUCGGUAAUGGAUGGGGAUGCGUCUGAUUAGCUUGUUGGCGGGGUAACGGCCCACCAAGGCAACGAUCAGUAGGGGUUCUGAGAGGAAGGUCCCCCACAUUGGAACUGAGACACGGUCCAAACUCCUACGGGAGGCAGCAGUGAGGAAUAUUGGUCAAUGGACGGAAGUCUGAACCAGCCAAGUAGCGUGCAGGAUGACGGCCCUAUGGGUUGUAAACUGCUUUUGUAUGGGGAUAAAGUUAGGGACGUGUCCCUAUUUGCAGGUACCAUACGAAUAAGGACCGGCUAAUUCCGUGCCAGCAGCCGCGGUAAUACGGAAGGUCCAGGCGUUAUCCGGAUUUAUUGGGUUUAAAGGGAGCGUAGGCUGGAGAUUAAGUGUGUUGUGAAAUGUAGACGCUCAACGUCUGACUUGCAGCGCAUACUGGUUUCCUUGAGUACGCACAACGUUGGCGGAAUUCGUCGUGUAGCGGUGAAAUGCUUAGAUAUGACGAAGAACUCCGAUUGCGAAGGCAGCUGACGGGAGCGCAACUGACGCUUAAGCUCGAAGGUGCGGGUAUCAAACAGG